rnacentral:rRNA from 1 species
AGAGUUUGAUCCUGGCUCAGAACGAACGCUGGCGGCAUGCCUAACACAUGCAAGUCGAACGUGAUCCAGGCCUUCGGGUUUGGUGAAAGUGGCAGACGGGUGAGUAACGCGUGGGAACCUGCCCAAUGGUAGGGAAUAACCGCGGGAAACUGCGGCUAAUACCCUAUGACCCCUGCGGGGGAAAGAUUUAUCGCCAUUGGAGGGGCCCGCGUCGGAUUAGGUAGUUGGUAGGGUAACGGCCUACCAAGCCUUCGAUCCGUAGCUGGUCUGAGAGGAUGAUCAGCCACACUGGGACUGAGAUACGGCCCAGACUCCUACGGGAGGCAGCAGUGGGGAAUAUUGGACAAUGGGGGCAACCCUGAUCCAGCAAUGCCGCGUGAGUGAUGAAGGCCUUCGGGUUGUAAAGCUCUUUCGGCGGGGAAGAUGAUGACGGUACCCGCAGAAGAAGCCCCGGCUAACUUCGUGCCAGCAGCCGCGGUAAUACGAAGGGGGCUAGCGUUGUUCGGAAUUACUGGGCGUAAAGGGCGCGUAGGCUGUGCUGUAAGUCAGGCGUGAAAUCCCCGGGCUCAACCUGGGAAUUGCGCAUGAUACUGCGGCGCUUGAAGACGGGAGAGGAUGGCGGAAUUCCCAGUGUAGAGGUGAAAUUCGUAGAUAUUGGGAAGAACACCGGGCGAAGGCGGCCAUCUGGCCCGUAAUUGACGCUGAGGCGCGAAAGCGUGGGGAGCAAACAGGAUUAGAUACCCCCGUAGUCC